AGAAAGUUUGUGCACUUGGAGAGUAAAAAGGACAGGGAUUAUUUUCUUGUUCGGGGACUGUACAGUUCCCAGGAAAACAAGGUUUUGGUCCAGGACUGGGACUCCUAAAUGUUAAGCAGGGGCCAAAGGCAUUCUACUGCAUUUG